GAUGAACGCUGGCGGCGUGCCUAAUACAUGCAAGUCGAGCGAACAGACGAGGAGCUUGCUCCUUUGACGUUAGCGGCGGACGGGUGAGUAACACGUAGGUAACCUACCUACAAGACUGGGAUAACUUCGGGAAACCGGAGCUAAUACCGGAUAAUAUUUCGAACCGCAUGGUUCGAUAGUGAAAGAUGGCUUUGCUAUCACUUAUAGAUGGACCUGCGCCGUAUUAGCUAGUUGGUAAGGUAACGGCUUACCAAGGCAACGAUACGUAGCCGACCUGAGAGGGUGAUCGGCCACACUGGAACUGAGACACGGUCCAGACUCCUACGGGAGGCAGCAGUAGGGAAUCUUCCGCAAUGGGCGAAAGCCUGACGGAGCAACGCCGCGUGAGUGAUGAAGGUCUUCGGAUCGUAAAACUCUGUUAUUAGGGAAGAACAAACGUGUAAGUAACUGUGCACGUCUUGACGGUACCUAAUCAGAAAGCCACGGCUAACUACGUG
rnacentral:rRNA from 1 species